CCCGGUUUAAGCAUGUAGGCGGAGAUUCCAGGUAAAUCCGGAGUCUUGUUAACGCUGAGGUGUGAUGACGAGGCACUACGGUGCUGAAGUAACAAAUGCCCUGCUUCCAGGAAAAGCCUCUAAGCAUCAGGUAACACGAAAUCGUACCCCAAACCGACACAGGUGGUCAGGUAGAGAAUACCAAGGCGCUUGAGAGAACUCGGGUGAAGGAACUAGGCAAAAUGGUGCCGUAACUUCGGGAGAAGGCACGCUGAUAUGUAGGUGAAGUGAUUUACUCAUGGAGCUGAAAUCAGUCGAAGAUACCAGCUGGCUGCAACUGUUUAUUAAAAACACAGCACUGUGCAAACACGAAAGUGGACGUAUACGGUGUGACGCCUGCCCGGUGCCGGAAGGUUAAUUGAUGGGGUUAUCCGUAAGGAGAAGCUCUUGAUCGAAGCCCCGGUAAACGGCGGCCGUAACUAUAACGGUCCUAAGGUAGCGAAAUUCCUUGUCGGGUAAGUUCCGACCUGCACGAAUGGCGUAAUGAUGGCCAGGCUGUCUCCACCCGAGACUCAGUGAAAUUGAACUCGCUGUGAAGAUGCAGUGUACCCGCGGCAAGACGGAAAGACCCCGUGAACCUUUACUAUAGCUUGACACUGAACACUGGUCCUUGAUGUGUAGGAUAGGUGGGAGGCUUUGAAGUGUGGACGCCAGUCUGCAUGGAGCCAACCUUGAAAUACCACCCUUUAAUGGCUGGUGUUCUAACGUAGACCCGUAAUCCGGGUUGCGGACAGUGUCUGGUGGGUAGUUUGACUGGGGCGGUCUCCUCCUAAAGAGUAACGGAGGAGCACGAAGGUUAGCUAAUCCUGGUCGGACAUCAGGAGGUUAGUGCAAAGGCAUAAGCUAGCUUGACUGCGAGAGUGACGGCUCGAGCAGGUGCGAAAGCAGGUCUUAGUGAUCCGGUGGUUCUGAAUGGAAGGGCCAUCGCUCAACGGAUAAAAGGUACUCCGGGGAUAACAGGCUGAUACCGCCCAAGAGUUCAUAUCGACGGCGGUGUUUGGCACCUCGAUGUCGGCUCAUCACAUCCUGGGGCUGAAGUAGGUCCCAAGGGUAUGGCUGUUCGCCAUUUAAAGUGGUACGCGAGCUGGGUUUAGAACGUCGUGAGACAGUUCGGUCCCUAUCUGCCGUGGGCGCUGGAGAAUUGAGGGGGGCUGCUCCUAGUACGAGAGGACCGGAGUGGACGCAUCACUGGUGUUCGGGUUGUCAUGCCAAUGGCAUUGCCCGGUAGCUAAAUGCGGAAGAGAUAAGUGCUGAAAGCAUCUAAGCACGAAACUUGCCCCGAGAUGAGUUCUCCCUGACCCCUUAAGGGUCCUGAAGGAACGUUGAAGACGACGACGUUGAUAGGUCGGGUGUGUAAGCGUAGCGAUACGUUGAGCUAACCGAUACUAAUGAACCGUGAGGCUUAACCUU
rnacentral:rRNA from 1 species